rnacentral:rRNA from 1 species
UAGAGUUUGAUCCUGGCUCAGAUUGAACGCUGGCGGCAGGCCUAACACAUGCAAGUCGAGCGGUAACACAGAGGAGCUUGCUCCUUGGGUGACGAGCGGCGGACGGGUGAGUAAUGCCUGGGGAUCUGCCCGAUAGAGGGGGAUAACUACGGGAAACUGUAGCUAAUACCGCAUAACGUCUACGGACCAAAGUGGGGGCUCUUCGGACCUCAUGCUAUCGGAUGAACCCAGGUGGGAUUAGCUAGCUGGUGAGGUAAUGGCUCACCAAGGCGACGAUCUCUAACUGGUUUGAGAGAAUGACCAGUCACACUGGAACUGAGACACGGUCCAGACUCCUACGGGAGGCAGCAGUGGGGAAUAUUGCACAAUGGGCGCAAGCCUGAUGCAGCCAUGCCGCGUGUGUGAAGAAGGCCUUCGGGUUGUAAAGCACUUUCAGCGGGGAGGAAGGGUCACUAGUUAAUACCUAGUGGCAUUGACGUUACUCGCAGAAGAAGCACCGGCUAACUCCGUGCCAGCAGCCGCGGUAAUACGGAGGGUGCAAGCGUUAAUCGGAAUUACUGGGCGUAAAGCGCACGCAGGCGGUUUGUUAAGUCAGAUGUGAAAUCCCCGAGCUCAACUUGGGAACUGCAUUUGAAACUGGCAAGCUAGAGUCUUGUAGAGGGGGGUAGAAUUCCAGGUGUAGCGGUGAAAUGCGUAGAGAUCUGGAGGAAUACCGGUGGCGAAGGCGGCCCCCUGGACAAAGACUGACGCUCAGGUGCGAAAGCGUGGGGAGCAAACAGGAUAAGAUACCCUGGUAGUCCACGCUGUAAAC